CGGGUGAGUCUGCAGCAGAGCGCCUCGCGGGGGCGGGAAGGAGAGAGAGAGCGGGGGCUGCUGUGCGGAGUGCCGCCUCGGGAGCGGGCAGCGCGAGGGAAACUCCUCGCCCCGUUCGUGAGCCGAAGGGACCGCUUUGCGCUAGCGAGAAGCGGGUGUUCCUGGCUCGUAACCAUCCCCUCGUCGUGGUGAGAGCGCUACCGCCGGUUGAUACUGAAUCAACUCCACGAGUGUUUACUCUCUGCAAAAUCCCAGCAGAACGAGUUAUCAGAAAAUGGAUGAAAGAAUGCCCUCUAGAGGCAGAAUUCAGCUGAAUAAAAUUCCCAGAUACAGAGAAGAAGAAUUGGAGAACAUAAACAUUACAGCCAUAUGGAGAAGAGUUGGCAUUGCUCAAGCCUCGUGUAAAUACAAACAAGUUAUCUUGACUGGAUACCACCAUACUGUGAAUUUGGAUGAUCAGGAGUAGCAGAGCUUGAACAUUUUGUACAAGUAAAGUUUACUGAGUUCAUCUACCAUCAACUCCAGGAGCAUUAAAUUUCACUUUAGUUAAUUAUCUAAAUUACCCAUAUGAAUCAGAUUGGAGAAUUUGAGAAUCUUCCCAUAUGGUCGAAUGUCC
rnacentral:lncRNA from 1 species